AGAUUGAACGCUGGCGGCGUGCUUAACACAUGCAAGUCGAGCGGUAACGCGGGAGCAAUCCUGGCGACGAGCGGCGAACGGGUGAGUAAUGCUUGGGAAUCUGCCCAUUAGUGGGGAACAACCAGCCGAAAGGUUGGCUAAUACCGCAUACGCCCUACGGGGGAAAGCGGGGGAUCGAAAGACCUCGCGCUAAUGGAUGAGCCCAAGUCGGAUUAGCUUGUUGGUAGGGUAACGGCCUACCAAGGCGACAAUCCGUAGCUGGUCUGAGAGGACGACCAGCCACACUGGGACUGAGACACGGCCCAGACUCCUACGGGAGGCAGCAGUGGGGAAUAUUGGACAAUGGGGGCAACCCUGAUCCAGCGACGCCGCGUGUGUGAAGAAGGCCUGCGGGUUGUAAAGCACUUUUAGUGGGGAUGAAAAGCUCAGGGUUAACACCUCUGGGUCUUGACCUAACCACAGAAAAAGCACCGGCUAACUCUGUGCCAGCAGCCGCGGUAA
rnacentral:rRNA from 1 species